CAGUCGCGCGGUAAUACAUAGGGUGCAAGCGUUAAUCGGAAUUACUGGGCGUAAAGCGCGCGUAGGUGGUUUGUUAAGUUGGAUGUGAAAUCCCCGGGCUCAACCUGGGAACUGCAUCCAAAACUGGCAAGCUAGAGUAUGGUAGAGGGUGGUGGAAUUUCCUGUGUAGCGGUGAAAUGCGUAGAUAUAGGAAGGAACUCCAGUGGCGAAGGCGACCACCUGGACUGAUACUGACACUGAGGUGCGAAAGCGUGGGGAGCAAACAGGAUUAGAUACCCCAGUAGUCCAUGUCUCUUAUAAA
rnacentral:rRNA from 1 species